UAAGGGUGAUGUACACAAGAUGAGCAAACACAAGACCAGGCCGAAAUGCAUAAGUUGCUUAAAUGAUAAAGCUGAAAACAAAGGAGUGAUGAAAAAGCGCUUAUGCACAUAGAAAAGCCGCAUUUUUACUACGAUUUUCGCUCGCGUCGGGGUCGAUGCUCGCGUCUGGAUGCGUCACGUGAUCCUUCUUCAUACUCGAUUCAAAUUCUCGUGUUCGAUUCAUUUAUCGGUAUCACAAUCGACGUUGCGCCUUCACAAACUUCCACUCACGUUUCAAUGUUUAAAAUGCCCGCGGAUUCUCGUUCGUCAUCAUCAUGGUUCGAUUCCUCCGCUUGCGUCAAUCGUCGUCGUGCUUCGACAAUCGCCGUGGAGCCUCGGGGUCACCAUCAUCGUGUUUCGGAACAAGACAAAUGUUGGCAACAAAUCUCUCACCAAGUUGAUUUCCACAAUGGUUUUCUUGUGCUUCUUUCUCUUCUUUUGCGCUCUGGUUUGUGCGUUUUGGUGGUCGUGUUUCUCAGGUGAAGCAUGACGACAUCACAGCGGAAGGAAACAACAGUUGAUUGAAGAGGAUUCUUUGGUAUGGAAUCGACCCUCCAAUCACAAUGCAGGCACUAAUUCUUCUUCUCUUUGAGUUCCCGAGUUUUUGUUGAUAGUUGAUGUGUGAAGAAUUUCAGUUGUGAAUUGCUUCCUCCUUUGGAUGAAUUUUCUGUAAUGCUGGUGAAUGAGUGAAGGAAGAAUGGAUUGAAUGAAAUCGGUUGAGUGCAAAAAUCUGUUGAAAACUGAGUUGAAGUGUGUUUUGUUGCUUGUUUGCAGUUGAGUAUAACUGGAGGUUGUUACGGUAAAUGGAUGGUUGCGGCAAGCCAUUGAUGCCAGAGCCAUACGUAUACAUCAUAACUGGGAGAUACAUACUCCUUUGAGGCAAAAUAAAUCUAUGAUGAAAGUGAGGGUUGCUUCCAUUACUGACAACAUAUUAUGUUAGUCAGAACAGGUGAAGAGGAUCCCCAGCAGUCGAUUGCCAUCAUACCUUGCAAAUUUUGGUGGCGGCGAACUUCUGGUAUAUUUCUAUUGUUGUAGAGUCACACUUCACAAUUUUUGUUUAGUUGUUUGUCAUAGAACUGACAAUGUCAUGAAACUACAUUGAGAUUGAAUGUUGCAGAUUAUUUGAGUCAAUAUGUACCUUUGAUCUAGGAAUUAAUAUCAGAACCUACGUAUGUUAAUCUUAUUGGUAUUAUAUUGGCUCACUUGAAUAUGUUGUGGAUUUCAUCCCAUAACAACUUUGAAGCUUUGUAUCCAACUACUCGUGCCAACAUGGAUUCUAACAGAGUGGAGAGAAUUUUAUUUUGUUGUUUCUUAACGGGUGGAUGCAAUGGUUUAUGUAUGUACGUUGGUCUUUUGUCUGGUUCAAAUCAUGAUUUGUUUAUGUGCAUAUGUUUAUGGUUUUCACGACUUGAAGGUUAAUAGGUAGAUGUAUGGUAUGAUAUGGAUGUUUAAUGGUUUUGGUCA